rnacentral:misc_RNA from 1 species
GAAAAGACGUGUAGUUGGAGAAGAGGCACAAAGCCUGUUCUUAUCAAUAUUCCGUUGAAAUAGGGUCAUUUGUUGAAGGUUGUUGUCGUUGAAUUGUUGGCUAAACAAGUAGAAUAUAAUACUAUUAUUGUUGUACACUUAAUCACAUGUACAGGAAAUCAAUUUGUUCAUUAAUUUAUCCAGCUUAAUAGAUUACUAGCUAGUUUGAGAUAAAUC